rnacentral:rRNA from 1 species
AUUGAACGCUGGCGGCAGGCCUAACACAUGCAAGUCGAGCGCGCGGCGGACGGGUGAGUAAUGUCUGGGAAACUGCCUGAUGGAGGGGGAUAACUACUGGAAACGGUAGCUAUAAUCGCGUACCCUCACAUGUGCCCAGAGGGGAUUAGCUAGUUGGAGGGGUAACGGCCCACCACGGCGAUGAUCAGUAGACGGUCUGAGAGGAUGAACGGCCACACUGGGACUGAGACACGGCCCAGACUCCUACGGGAGGCAGCAGUGGGGAAUCUUCCGCAAUGGACGAAAGUCUGACGGAGCAACGCCGCGUGUGUGAAGAAGGCCUUCGGGUGGUAAAGUACUUUCAGCGGGGAGGCGUUACCCGCAGAAGAAGCACCGGCUAACUCCGUGCCAGCAGCCGCGGUAAUAC